CAGGCCCUGAAUGAAGUCUAAUGGUUUCUGUAGCCAUUGGUUUCAAGCAGGUGCCCAGAGAAAAGUUUUUCCCAUGGUCUGUUGGCUGUUUUGAAUUUUAGAAUUGAGCAGACAAUUCAUUGGGAAGUAACAUUG